rnacentral:rRNA from 1 species
UACAGAGGUCUCAAGCGUUGUUCGGAAUCACUGGGCGUAAAGGGUGCGUAGGCGGCCGUGCAAGUCUGGCGUGAAAGCCCCGGGCUCAGCCCGGGAAGUGCGCUCGAAACUGCGCGGCUCGAGUGCCGGAGGGGAGAGUGGAAUUCCUGGUGUAGCGGUGAAAUGCGUAGAUAUCAGGAGGAAUACCGGUGGCGAAAGCGACUCUCUGGACGGCAACUGACGCUGAGGCACGAAAGCGUGGGGAGCAAACAGG